rnacentral:lncRNA from 1 species
UAUGAUGACUCGUGGUACAUAAACGAAUGUCACAUCAUUAAUAUAUAAUGGGUUCUGUACAAAAUAGUUAAAUAAUUACAUCAUGCGAAGACAACGAUCUAGCAACACAAAGUUGAAUGGGAGACGACAACCUAGACCACUCACGAACUCAUCACAGCAUCCUUCGUGCGCCUCAUCCUGCGGUACCUGUUCUUGACCUGGGGGGAUGUGUGUACAGCAAGGGUGAGCUCACAUACGUUCAUCGCUCAACAAGUUGUGGGGAAUAAUGUGCAUGAACUCACCAAAGGUGGGAGCUCAUGUGAAUUGUAAGGCUUACCAAAGGAGAUGGUUAAAGCUGAGCAUUGCUUUUAAAGUUGGUCAAGAUUUUAUUAGCAGUUACUAAGUAUAAGUAGAUACCAACCCAAUUAAGUAAGAGAUCAAAAUUGAUAAUAACACCCGCGAUACAAUGCACAUGACAGAUUAAGUUUAGUUCCAUAAAUUAAUCAUGUGAGAGUCCUGAGCUGCUCAUGACCGCGAGCAUGGCUGAUAUACCAGUUUUACACUCUGCAGAGGUUGCGCCCUUUACCCACAAGUCAUGUAUCCCGUCUAGCCAGGUUUAGCUCGACCCUUAGACACUUCCGAGGUGAAUGGCUAGGGAUCCACUACGAGGCAUUUACAAAGUUCCACCGCUACGGUUUCUGAGAAGGGCAAUAUAGGAAUCCUUCGUCCAAAAAGCCAUCGCAGCAUGAUCGACUCGAGAACCUCCCUAUACGCAGCUCCUCUACCGCCCUUGCCCCUUUUGGGUAAGGUAGUCCUCCACUAGCUUUCCUAAUUAGUCAGCCAAGGGCGUCCCAUUCCACCCUUGUGGUAGCACGAAUAUCUGAAGUUAAGCAACAUGUUCCAAUUAACACAAUGAUCUUGUCAUGAACAAUAAUUAGAACAACAGUAUAACUAGAACAUGAUCAUAAUAUAAUAUUUAUCCCAAAAUCAGGUAAAGCAAUAGCAAAACUGCCCAAAAGUUCAGUGGUAAACAAGAUGUGGGAUAAAUAAGUCUAGGGAAACCUAUUAGGUUACAUCAGAUUAACCUGAGCAUGUCAUAGUGAUUAACAGGAACAUUAUUGGGUAAAAAAGUGAUCAAGGGCAUAACUUGCCUUAGACUCGAGAUUCCUAGGUACCAACUAGUUCUUCAAGUGACUCGUAAACUCGCCUCUACUCGUAGCAAUACAAAUAAACAAGGUAUAUGCAAAAUUAACAUCACACCAAACAUAAGAACAUAGUGCAUAAUAAUGAUCUACGCGUCGUAACUCGAUCCUAGGUUCGAGAACCACUAAAUUCGGAGUUAUGGUUAACGAGUUGUGGUUUUCUGUAGAUUUAAGGUUGGAUACAAAAGAAAUUUAGUGCAUAAUUUUAACCUAUGUUUCAUAACAAAAUAAGGUUACCAGAUGAUAAACAAUUAUAAUAUGAAUUUAUUGCAACUGGAAUGGAUCAAAAAAGAGUUAAAUUCAUAGAGUUAUGAAUUUCCUAAGAUUGGGACUUUAUUUUUUGCACUAAAAAUGAUUUCUGUAUUUAUUUUAAUCAAUUACUCAGCUAUCUGGACUGGGGCCAUUAAUACCACAGAGCUCUGGGUCAAAACUGCAAAUUCUAGGGCUCUAUUGUAAUUACUUUUGUAUUGCCGUGGAGCGCGGGUUGAUUCUUAAAACAUUUAAGGAUUCUUUUGCAAAUUUACAUGGCCGAAGAGGUACGCUUCGACUAGGACUGUUGGAUCACAAGCCCACCGUCAGGAUUAGAUCGGACCCCAGACGAACCAGAACGUGCUCCCAAUUGUCAGAUCCGAUCCCAAUGGUGUGGAUUAGAUCUGGCUUUAACCCAAGCGGUACACGCUUGAGGUUGUUGAUUCGAAGAUCGACGGUCAGGAUGUUAUAGAAGCCUUAAUUACCCACGCCCCACCGAUCAAGAUCGAAAGGUGGAAGGACGCGGAGUUCAGAGCGCAUACCUAGUCAAAUCUACAUUGUUCCUGACGAUCGGACGGUCACCAUUCCCCCAUGUCCGAACGAUACGCGAGAUCUUAUCGUGUCCAUCCAUUUUCGAUCUGAUGGCCCCCACGCGUCUUCUCCCACACGAACUUUACCGACGGUGGAGGCGCCCUGCCCACGGUGGAGGGCCCGCCAGAGAAAGCCGAAUCCGUGCACCCAGGAUCAAACCCCCGAUCCGAUUGAUUCUAAACGGUGCUACGAAAAUAGCGAAGAUGUCUGGGGACCUUACCUAAGGACUGGAGCAUCAGAGGAUCAUGGCCUCGAGGACCUGCGACAUGGUGGUGGCCAUACAUUCCGUUGAGCAAUUCCAUGCACCACCGGUUUCAAGUUCACCUGAUGAGGUCAUGGGCGUCCCCCAUGAGACACGAGGAAGACCCCCUGCCAACCGCCGAGGGCACAAUGCCGGUGAACCAGAUCUUCACCCACCCUGCAUGGUGGCCCUCCAUCUCCUUCCCAGCUACUCGCCGCAACGACGUGCUCUAAGGCGGGGCUCGACAGGAGUUCGCCAAGGGGGGUGCGGUACCCAGGUAUUUAUCACCGGGGUAGGACAGUCCGAGCCUAAGGGUGCUUGAUAGGCGGGAUUUUUGGGCUGUUACCACAACAAAACAACCCCGAUGUUUACUCCAUGUGCGAGAUUGAGAGGGGAAAGAAUGUCUAGCGCCCCCAUCUCGCGGUCAGCCAUCCGGGCAACAGAGAGCGCACAUGGCCGAGGGGAA